rnacentral:lncRNA from 1 species
UUUAGGCGACAGCUGUCGCCCUAAGGAUAUAUUUCUGUCGCCUAAAUAUCUGCAUGUCACAACUAUGUUCAUUUUCCUUAAUAACUAUCCCAAACUAGAUGGUUGGAUAGAGGGUCAUCUCAGGACCUUCGGGUGUGCUUCUUUUGUAUUUUUAUAAAAUUUCAGUGCUGUUAUUGAAAAAACAAAAAUAUGAUGUAUAUAACGUCUGCGACCUUUCGGCGACACGGGGUUUUCUAUAAAAUUCUCUAACACAUGGAUAUAUGUUCAGAAAUAAACAAUGGAGAAAUUAUUGUCUAAAUAUAUGCUCUUAGGUUUUGUACAUUUUUUUCAAAUAUACACAUCGUUAAGUGUUCAGCAUAAUAUCACUGUUUCCCUCGCAGUACCUUUCGGCGAUUUUCCUUCACGCUCCUGUGCGUCAAAAACGUGAAAGUUCAAAAGCGGCAACGUCGAAAUGAACACUUAGCUAAUAAUUCAAUAACGUCUGUAGAUAUUGUGGGAGCUGACAGACAAGACUAACAUGCCACCAAGAAAACGUUUAAAUACUUAAAACAUUUGAUUCUUUGAUCAAAAUAACAAUGUAAUAAUUUGUAAAUAAAUUGAAUUCAUGUUUCACACGAAGGCCCGUUCACGUUUUGUGUCAAAUCGGAUCCCGUUUGCUACAGUUUUCGCGCACUACACGAGGUGACUUGGCAGCACAAAGCAUUGGGAAAUGCAUGACAACUAUGAACGGGACCAAGACACGUUGAGCUUGGCAGAGGAGAAAUGUGACCUUCAAAUUGCAGAAUCCGAGGGGGAGUCUCAGGCAUUCCAAAGGGAGGAAGGGGAUUCAGAUGUAGUAUCUGUGAGAAAGUACUGAAAUGUAAAGGUGGAUAUACUGUUCAUCAGCAGAUGACUUGAAGUCAAAAGGUACCACCAGUUUUUAGUAGUGUCUUUCUAGAUAUCAAGAUAAGUGAACACCAAUAACAUAUCAUAUCGUUAUACAAGG